rnacentral:rRNA from 1 species
AUACGUAGGGUGCAAGCGUUAAUCGGAAUUACUGGGCGUAAAGCGUGCGCAGGCGGUUUUGUAAGGCAGAGGUGAAAUCCCCGGGCUCAAACUGGGAACUGCCUUUGAGACUGCAAGGCUAGAGUACGGCAGAGGGGGAUGGAAUUCCGCGUGUAGCAGUGGAAUGCGUAGAUAUGCGGAGGAACACCGAUGGCGAAGGCAAUCCCCUGGGCCUGUACUGACGCUCAUGCACGAAAGCGUGGGGAGCAAACAGGAUUAGAUACCCUGGUAGUCCACGCCCUAAACGAUGUCAACUGGUUGUUGGGUCUUCAUUGACUCAGUAACGAAGCUAACGCGUGAAGUUGACCGCCUGGGGAGUACGGCCGCAAGGUUGAAACUCAAAUGAAUUGACGGGG